CUCUUUUUGANNNUAAUNUAAAGUNNGGCCUGCCCACUGAUAUUUUAAAGGGCCGCAGUAUUUUGACUGUGCAAAGGUAGCAUAAUCAUUAGUUUUUUAAUUGAAAGCUUGUAUGAAUGGUUUGAUGAAAAAAUAACUGUUUCAAUUUUAAUAUUAGAAUUUUAUUUUUAAGUUAAAAAGCUUAAAUUAAAUUUAAAGACGAGAAGACCCUAUAGAGUUUUACUAAAGUUAAGUUUAUAAAUUUUAGAAUUUAGUAUUUUUAAAUUUAAUUAAGUUUUGUUGGGGUGACAGAAAAAUUUGAUUAACUUUUUUUUUAUUUAAACAAAAAUUAUUGAGUUUUUGAUCCAAAUUUUUUGAUUAUAAGAUUAAAUUACCUUAGGGAUAACAGCGUAAUUUUUUUUGAAAGUUCUUAUUGAAAAAAGAGAUUGCGACCUCGAUGUUGGAUUAAAAUUAAUAUUUGGUGUAGAAGCUAAAUAAUUAGGUCUGUUCGACCUUUAAAAUUUUACAUGAUCUGAGUUUAAACCGGUGUAAGCCAGGUUGGUUUCUAUCUUAAAAUAAAAAUAAUAUUUUAGUACGAAAGGAUCAAAUAUUAUAUUAAUAAUAUUAUUAUUAGUUUAUUUUGGCAGAAAAGUGCGAAGGAUUUAGAAUCUUUAAAUGUAUAUUAUACAAAUAAAAAUUGAUUUGAUUUUAAUAUUUUUAAAUAUAUUAAUAUUAUUUAUUGGAGUUUUAGU
rnacentral:rRNA from 1 species